rnacentral:rRNA from 1 species
UACGGGGGGGGCAAGCGUUGUUCGGAAUUACUGGGCGUAAAGGGCUCGUAGGCGGCCAACUAAGUCGGAUGUGAAAUCCCCAGGCUUAACCUGGGAACUGCAUCCGAUACUGGAUGGCUUGAAUCCGGGAGAGGGAUGCAGAAUUCCAGGUGUAGCGGUGAAAUGCGUAGAUAUCGAGAGGAACACCUGCGGCGAAGGCGGGUUGCUGGGCUGACACUGACGCUGAUGCGCGAAAGCCAGGGGAGCGAACGGG